UCCUACGGGGGGCAGCAGUAGGGAAUUUUCGUCAAUGGGCGCAAGCCUGAGCGAGCAAUGCCGCGUGAACGAGGAAGGUCUUCGGAUCGUAAAGUUCUGUUGAAGGGGAAAAAGAGCGGAGAGAGGAAAUGGUCUCCGAUUGAUAUUACCCUUCGAGGAAGUCACGGCUAACUACGUGCCAGCAGCCGCGGUAAUACGUAGGUGGCGAGCGUUAUCCGGAAUGAUUGGGCGUAAAGGGUGCGUAGGCGGCAUGCUAAGUCUGGAGUGAAAGGUACCGGCUCAACCGGUACAGGCUCUGGAAACUG
rnacentral:rRNA from 1 species